rnacentral:rRNA from 1 species
GACGAACGCUGGCGGCGCGCCUAAUACAUGCAAGUCGAGCGAUGAAAUUUCGACAGUUCCCUUCGGGGUGAAGCUGCAAUCGAUUAGCUGACGACGGGUGAGUCACCCGUGAGUAACCUGACAAUGACAUUGGGCUAGCGCUGAUAACCUAGGAUAAAUACAAACUGACACUUACUGAUUAAAUGAUCAAUUUGCAUAAGUAAUUCGGUCAACGAUGGACUCGUGGCUGAUUAGCUAGUUGGUGAGGUAACGGGCCACCAAGGCGACGCUCAGUAGCCGGGCUGAGAGGGUGGUCGGCAACAGUGGAACUGAGACACGGUCGAAACUCCUACGGAAGGCAGCAGUGGGGAACGUUGCACGAUGGGGGAAAGCAUGAUGCAGCGACGCCGCGAAAGCGAAGAAGGCCUGCGGGUCGUAAGGCUCUGUUAAGAGGGAAGAUAAUGACGGUACCUCAAGAGAAAGCCACGGCUAACUACGUG